CAGAGCGCCAUGGCCCGACCUUGUAUGAAUAUUGGACCCAGGAACCAUAUGAGGCUGUUGACGGCGAUCAUUUUAUAUAUCUGUCUGCUGAGUCGGGUGCUUGGAGCCCCCGAUGAUGUAGAGGAGGAGGUAAAAGACGCCUCCGCUCAAAACGAAAUGGUUAGGAAGGAAGCCAGAAAAUGGCGACAAACUUCAACUGCACUCAACGAACUAUUACUCUAUGGGUACAACGCCAGGCUGCUGUUGAACGCCACACUCGCUCAUCUGGAUACAUACGCUGCGGACCGGGUAAUGACCGCGCCUGUGCCACCCUGUAUGACCGGAGCCUGUCGAACCCCUGGUGUGUCGGAUGACCCGACCGUCUUCGCCGAUCGACAUGAGGUCACGUUCGCAACGACAAACGAUAAAU